ensembl:lncRNA
CCCACCCAUCUUAAAGCAGAGAUUUACAAGACCCUCAUACGGUCAGUCACACUUCACAGUUCAGAGUGUUGGCCUGCAUCCGCCAAACACCAGCAGUCUGGACCAUGUCAGGAAUGAAGACGUGCAGAAAGUACUGGGAAUGGCUCCAAUCAUAGAGAAGAUGAAAGAAGCACAUCUUUAUUGGGACAGCCAUGUCGUUCACAGCGGAGAAGAAUCAAGUGAUAGACAGCAUUGUGCCUUAGCCCAGAUGGAUGGCGACCACAUGUUUGACCAAAGAAGAGAUGAAUGGACUGAGAAAAAAAAGAAAAGAAAAUAUGAAACAAGUCAACACAGCCCCCGACGAUGCCCUAGACUGGAAGAAGUGGAAAGCGAAAUGCCAAUAAGCAGACCUUGCAACAGUGCAGGUUCCACAGCCGAUCGCUGUGAACGAUGUUCCUGUGGGAUCUCCACACCCACAGCCUCUACAGAAGCGAGCAUGCAUCCCAGCGGCCUACUCCUCCAUCCUCUGCGUCUCCUGGGCUACGAGACUGCUGGAGCCUGAAGCUGCCCACCCUCCUGCACCUUUAACCCUCCAAACAACCACAAACACUGACUCACUGAAGACUCCUCAUGCCUUCCAACAAACCACAAACCUCCACACUUCGUGAUUUUAACAGCUUCUGAUCGAGGAAUUAAAGGAGCUGUGGAGCAGAAUCAAAGAAUUUCUGAGCACACUAGUUAGAGUGUCCAGUGGAGCCUGCGUGAGGAGCUGUGCAGAUGGAGAUUGUCCCAGUGCUGGAGGGGGUCUAUAUAAAAACUUUGGCCUGUCUUUCACAGCAUCAAUUCUCUCCACAUGGCCACAAAACUUGACUUUGCGUCUUGGACAAAGGAUUUCAUCUUGAAGAAAACAGACACACGGGUUUAGAACGACCUGACGCGUACCGCAGCGCUGCACUUCGGGUCAAUAACUCAAGCCUCGGGCCUCGCUCUGCAGGAAGGCCAGCGCACAUUACCUCCCUAUUACUCCCCCACUUACAAUUACCAUUAAUGACUUUCUCCCGCUGACAAGCGAUCUCUCACUCCUUCCGCAGUCUGCUGCACUGUGCUGUGGGGACUGUGGGAAAUCCCAGGUUCAUCAUGCUGGAAAAAGACUGGACCUACAGUAACAAUUCACUUGUUGGUCUCAGACUACAGUCUCACCUUUCAUAGACCAAGAGAAUAAUGUUAG